GUUUCGUAUUACAUUGUGUGUGAAUCAGUGUCUUCUAUCCUCUUAUAUGUGUAUAUUUUUAAUUUUGUUGUAGAAUAAAAAAAAUCAAUAUGUGUUGCGUCUGUUCAAUGUUGUGUAAGAUCAUCAGUUGCGUGUCCACACUACUUGUAAUUGCAGCUAUAGUUCUAAUCGUACUGUGGGUUAUGAACGUAUUUAGUUCCGAUGACAAUACCCCCUCUCACGAAGAGCUUUUGAAACGCGCUGUUCGGUCACCGAAAUUCAUAUUGCAAAUGUGAAUUAAAUAAUUUUAAUAAAUAGUCAUAAACAAAUGUAAUAUGCUAAAAAAUUUAUAAAAUACCACUUCACUUAAAAUAAUGCAACAAUUAAUGAAAAUUUUAGUUAUAACUUGUCUAAUAUUGUAUUCAAAUUCUAAGAAUCAGAUACAAGGGAGUGCAUUUAGAUGAUUGAAUAUAUGGUCAUCUAAUAUUAAAGUCUCAAUUCGAUCAUCAAUCGAUCGAUUUAAAAAAAGAAGAUAUCGUAUUCAAAUCCUUGAUGAGUCAAGGAGAUCCCUGAAACGAUUUUAUUCAUUUUUUUAUUAUCGAUUGUUC